rnacentral:rRNA from 1 species
CCUACGGGAGGCUGCAGUCGAGAAUCAUUCACAAUGGGGGAAACCCUGAUGCAGCGACGCCGCGUGAGUGAAGAAGUAAUUCGUUAUGUAAAGCUCUAUCAGCAGGGAAGAAAAUGACGGUACCUGAGUAAGAAGCCCCGGCUAACUACGUGCCAGCAGCCGCGGUAAUACGUAGGGGGCAAGCGUUAGCCGGAUUUACUGGGUGUAAAGGGAGCGUAGACGGCAGUGCAAGUCUGGAGUGAAAGGCGGGGGGUCAACCCCCGGACUGCUCUGGAAACUGUACGGCUGGAGUGCAGGAGAGGUAAGUGGAAUUCCUAGUGUAGCGGUGAAAUGCGUAGAUAUUAGGAGGAACACCAGUGGCGAAGGCGGCUUACUGGACUGUAACUGACGUUGAGGCUCGAAAGCGUGGGGAGCAAACAGGAUUAGAUACCCUUGUAGUC